AACAAAAUAAAUGCCCUGAUGCAGUACUAAGCACUGGUUUUCAUUCUUCUGAUCUUAAUUGGUUGGAUGUGUUAUCAUGUACAUUGUUUUGUAUUGGUAUAAAAGAUGGGCCGCAACAAAUAUUCUGCAUAAUACCACAGAUUUGCUUAAGCCCUGUUGUAGUACCACGCAGUGGGACUGAACUCGGAA